UACAGAGGUGGCAAGCGUUGUUCGGAAUUACUGGGCGUAAAGGGCGCGUAGGCGGUCUUGCAAGUCCCGUGUGAAAUCCCUCGGCUCAACUGAGGAACUGCACGGGAAACUGUUUGGCUUGAGUUCGGGAGAGGGAAGCGGAAUUCCGGGUGUAGCGGUGAAAUGCGUAGAUAUCCGGAGGAACACCGGUGGCGAAGGCGGCUUCCUGGACCGACACUGACGCUGAGGCGCGAAAGCUAGGGUAGCAAACGGG
rnacentral:rRNA from 1 species